rnacentral:rRNA from 1 species
AGAAUCAACGCUGGCGGCGUGCCUAACACAUGCAGGUCGAACGAGAAAGUGGAGCAAUCCAUGAGUAAAGUGGCGCACGGGUGAGUAACACGUGACUACCUACCCUCGAGUGGGGAAUAACCUCGGGAAACCGGGGCUAACACCGCAUAACAUCUACGGAUCAAAUGCGAAAGCAGCUUGAGGAGGGGGUCGCGGCCGAUUAGCUAGUUGGUGAGGUAAUGGCCCACCAAGGCAAUGAUCGGUA